rnacentral:rRNA from 1 species
UACAGAGGGUGCGAGCGUUAAUCGGAAUUACUGGGCGUAAAGCGCACGUAGGUGGCGACGUAAGUCGGGUGUGAAAGCCCCGGGCUCAACCUGGGAAUUGCAUUCGAGACUGCAUUGCUGGAGUACGGAAGAGGAAGGCGGAAUUCCCGGUGUAGCGGUGAAAUGCGUAGAUAUCAGGAGGAACACCGGUGGCGAAGGCGGUUCUCUGGGCCUUACCUGACACUGGAGGAGCGAAAGCGUGGGGAGCGAACAGG